CGCCGGCGGCAGGCCUAAAACAUGCAAGUCGAGCGGUAGCACAGAGAGCUUGCUCUCGGGUGACGAGCGGCGGACGGGUGAGUAAUGUCUGGGAAACUGCCUGAUGGAGGGGGAUAACUACUGGAAACGGUAGCUAAUACCGCAUAACGUCGCAAGACCAAAGUGGGGGACCUUCGGGCCUCAUGCCAUCAGAUGUGCCCAGAUGGGAUUAGCUAGUAGGUGGGGUAACGGCUCACCUAGGCGACGAUCCCUAGCUGGUCUGAGAGGAUGACCAGCCACACUGGAACUGAGACACGGUCCAGACUCCUACGGGAGGCAGCAGUGGGGAAUAUUGCACAAUGGGCGCAAGCCUGAUGCAGCCAUGCCGCGUGUGUGAAGAAGGCCUUCGGGUUGUAAAGCACUUUCAGCGGGGAGGAAGGCGGUGAGGUUAAUAACCUCACCGAUUGACGUUACCCGCAGAAGAAGCACCGGCUAACUCCGUGCCAGCAGCCGCGGUAAUACGGAGGGUGCAAGCGUUAAUCGGAAUUACUGGGCGUAAAGCGCACGCAGGCGGUCUGUCAAGUCGGAUGUGAAAUCCCCGGGCUCAACCUGGGAACUGCAUUCAAAACUGGCAGGCUAGAGUCUUGUAGAGGGGGUAGAAUUCCAGGUGUA
rnacentral:rRNA from 1 species